CUUUGAGAGAGAGAUUUUUCAACUGGCUGCAAACAAGAUAGGGUAGAUCUUGGAAACCAUAAUAUAGAGGAAUUGAAGGCACUUGGCCAUGAGAAGAAAGAAGUCAUUGCAGGUGGGCCACAUCCAAUCAGUGGAAGGUCUUAAGAGCAAAAACUGAGGUUCCUCAGAGAAGAAGGAAAUGUUUUAAGACUUCAGCAUCAAUUCCUGCCUGAGUUUCUAGCCUGCUGGCCUGCUCUACAAAUUUCAAGCUUGCUAGCCCUCACAAUCAC
rnacentral:lncRNA from 10 species